GGACCCGCACAAGCGGUGGAGCGUGUGGUUUAAUUCGAUGCUAAGCGAAGAACCUUAUCCAAGGCUUGACAUAUAAACGUUUAGUCUCUUGGAAACAAGAGAUGAUCCGCAAGGAUGUUUAUACAGGUGCUGCAUGGCUGUUGUCAGCUCGUGUCGUGAGAUGUUGGGUUAAGUCCCACAACGAGCGCAACCCUCAUUGUUAGUUAUUAUGUCUAACAAGACCGCCCUGCCAAAACGGGGAGGAAGGUGGGGAUGACUUCUAGUCCUCAUAGCCCUUAUGCCUUGGGCUACACACGCGCUACAAUGGGAAGUACAAUAGGUUGCCAAACCGCAAGGUGGAGCUAAUCCCUAAAACUUCUCUCAGUUCAGAUUGCAGGCUGAAAUUCGCCUGCAUGAAGUUGGAAUCGCUAGUAAUCGUGGAUCAGCAUGCUACGGUGAAUACGUUCUCGGGUCUU
rnacentral:rRNA from 1 species